UGCAGUGAUACAACCUUGGGCUCUGAGCUCAUCAGAUCUCACAAAUUAAGCAGGCUGUGUCUGGCUAAUACUUGGAAAAGAGACCUCCAGAGAAAUCCCAGGGUAUUGCUGCAU
rnacentral:rRNA from 1 species